CAGUGUCCUACCAUGGUGCUGGAUGAGGAGGGGAAGCAAAGGCCAGCCCCAGCAGUGCCCCUUACUCCCUAGUUUCAGGCAGUUCCAGAGAUGGAGCGUGGAACACGUAACUGUAAGCAGUCUGAUCAUAGCCAUGCAGUUUCUGACCUCAUAAAGUGCAAAUUGUCCCAUGUGGGAUGAAAAGUGCAUCCAACUCAUCCUGCAGUAAGUAUUUUCAGGAUCUGGCCCUGAUAUAAUGGAGGAUUUUUGCUACAUCCAAAGGGUAUGAUUUCAAUGAACAGGGAAAAAUGUUCACAUGGAAAUGCAGAGCUCAGAAACUUCCUGGAAGAAAGCUCAGGCACUGUGAAAUAAGCUCCAACCUUCCCUGCAUCAAACUUCUUCCUAACAGUAUGCAAAAGCUGCUCAAAUAGCAGUUGAGUUGCUUCUUACCCAUUCUAGGAGAGUGUGGAACAUCAUGUUACAGAGGACAAAUGGACAUUGGCAUUAUGCAUCCAUACCCUGAAAAAUACAAAAAUAUUUCCACGUUGCUGCUGAAAGAAGGAAACCAAAGGUGGGCAGGCCCAGCUGUGGGUUGCACACUGGGGAUGUGCAGCCUCUUGCAGAGCCCUAGAGAACCUGGUGGUGACCUCCCUGGACUUCUCUCUAUGUGAUUUCUCAUUGAGAGCUGUGCUGCUAAACUCCAAGAGGCAAUGAAACUUCUGGGAAUUCAACUGUCUUCCACACUCAGCCUGGGAGAGAAAGGGUGAGGGGUGUGAUGCCUCCAUGGUGCCAGGGGCAGGAGCAGCUCCAGCCAAAAUACAUUCCCUACAUCUGUGGAAAACCUUCA